GGCUCUAUUACUCCCUGACGGACCGCUAUAGUGCCCACGAUCCUGCUCCACUCCCUGCGACGGAUUCUGCGCGGCUCCAUUACUCCCUGGCAGACCGCUAUGAUGCCCACGAUCCUGCUCCUCUUCCUGCGACGGAUACCAUACGAUUCUUCCAUCCCCUGGCAAGUCGUGACAACGGACGUCGCUCCACUCCCUGCGGC
rnacentral:lncRNA from 1 species